AAAAUCAAAUGUUCAAUAUCACCAACAGUAUUUUCACAGGCGGUGCACUUGUUAUCCAGUAUUAUACCCAAUCUAUAUAAAUGUGCAGGAGUGGUGUGGUGGCCAAAACGAAGCCGGUUCAUGGUCGUAAUAAAAUCUCGGCUAGCAACCUUCAAAUUGUUAUACCACGGUUGAGUUGGUAAAACUUCUUCGCUUCUAAAACUGCAUAUGCCUCUGCAGUAAAAAUACUGGCAUUGGUGCUAAGAGCAAAACUUUGACAAAAAUUUAUUUGAGGAUCAUAUACCGCACUACGGACAUGGGCCUGACCUUUGCUGCCAUCGGAAAAUUUGAGACAUGCUUGGUGAUUUACGACAGAGAAGGUCACUUCCAGUUAUUGAGGGUGCAAUUUGCUGACAUGGAUGAGAUCUGACACAAGCGAGACAAAGCUGUCUGCACAACUUCUUCCUCGCCUGAAGCCAUAUUGAAUAUUUGGUAUAAUACCCUUGGACUCAACAUACCAAUCAAGACGGAUUUUAAUCAUAUUCUCGAAAAUUUUUCCUAAACAAGAUGAUAACGAAA
rnacentral:lncRNA from 1 species